rnacentral:rRNA from 1 species
CGUCAGGAUGAACGCUAGCGACAGCUAACACAUGCAGUCGAGGGGCAGCAUAGAAGUAGCAAUACGUUGGUGGCGACCGGCGCACGGGUGAGUAACGCGUAUGCAACCUACCUAUCAGAGGGGAAUAACCCGGCGAAAGUCGGACUAAUACCGCAUAAAACAGGGGCACCGCAUGGUGAUAUUUGUUAAAGAAAUUCGCUGAUAGAUGGGCAUGCGUUCCAUUAGGUAGUUGGUGAGGUAACGGCUCACCAAGCCGACGAUGGAUAGGGAACUGAGAGGUUGGUCCCCCACACUGGUACUGAGACACGGACCAGACUCCUACGGGAGGCAGCAGUGAGGAAUAUUGGUCAAUGGGCGGGAGCCUGAACCAGCCAAGUCGCGUGAAGGAAGAAGGAUCUAUGGUUCGUAAACUUCUUUUGCAGGGGAAUAAAGUGCAGGACGUGUCCUGUUUUGUAUGUACCCUGAGAAUAAGGAUCGGCUAACUCCGUGCCAGCCGCCGC